UGGCAAGUCUCCGCAUAUGCCUGGCUAGCUCCUCCACAAAUGGGUGUGGAGGAGCUAGCCAGGCGUAUGCAGAGCGUCA
ensembl:miRNA